rnacentral:rRNA from 1 species
CCUACGUGAGGCAGCAGUGAGGAAUAUUGGUCAAUGGGCGCGAGCCUGAACCAGCCAAGUAGCGUGAAGGAUGACUGCCCUACGGGUUGUAAACUUCUUUUAUAAAGGAAUAAAGUGAGGCACGUGUGCCUUUUUGUAUGUACUUUAUGAAUAAGGAUCGGCUAACUCCGUGCCAGCAGCCGCGGUAAUACGGAGGAUCCGAGCGUUAUCCGGAUUUAUUGGGUUUAAAGGGAGCGUAGAUGGGUUGUUAAGUCAGUUGUGAAAGUUUGCGGCUCAACCGUAAAAUUGCAAUUGAUACUGGCAGUCUUGAGUACAGUUGAGGUAGGCGGAAUUCGUGGUGUAGCGGUGAAAUGCUUAGAUAUCACGAAGAACUCCGAUUGCGAAGGCAGCUUACUAAACUGCCACUGACAUUGAUGCUCGAAAGUGUGGGUAUCAAUCAGGAUUAGAUACCCCAGUAGUC